rnacentral:rRNA from 1 species
GUACACUCCUGCGGGAGGCAGCAGUGGGGAAUAUUGCACAAUGGGCGCAAGCCUGAUGCAGCGACGCCGCGUGGGGGAUGAAGGCCUUCGGGUUGUAAACUCCUUUCGCUAGGGACGAAGCUUUUUUGUGACGGUACCUAGAUAAGAAGCACCGGCUAACUACGUGCCAGCAGCCGCGGUAAUACGUAGGGUGCGAGCGUUGUCCGGAAUUACUGGGCGUAAAGGGCUCGUAGGUGGUUUGUCGCGUCGUCUGUGAAAUUCUGGGGCUUAACUCCGGGCGUGCAGGCGAUACGGGCAUAACUUGAGUGCUGUAGGGGUAACUGGAAUUCCUGGUGUAGCGGUGAAAUGCGCAGAUAUCAGGAGGAACACCGAUGGCGAAGGCAGGUUACUGGGCAGUUACUGACGCUGAGGAGCGAAAGCAUGGGUAGCGAACAGGAUUAGAAACCCGAGUAGUCCCAUGA